AAGCAGUGGACCUUCCUUUUUUCCUCCAGGAGUGUGGUGGAAAAACCCUAGAUCACUUUCUUGGAUUCUUAUUACCCAAGUUACCAAGAAGACUGUAAGGCAUUUGAUGACCAAAUUAGAAGUGAUGAAAGGCAAGGAGAAGGCAUGACCAGGAAAGAUUACUACGGAUAAGUUUUCAUUUUCUUCUUUUGAUCAUUGUGGCUGAGAAGAUAGGAAACUGUGCACCCUGCUGUUUAGUAAACAUCAACACAUUGGACCCUCACUGACUGCACAGGACACCGGAUACGCAGAGCAGACAAAGCAAGGGGUUCUGGAGCUACAAUUCAAAUAUCAACACUAACACUGGUUUGUGUGAUGUUGGACAGAUUGCUGUCUUUCUACACUUCAAUGAUAUCCUCUGUAACAACAUAAUGAUAGUUGACCAGAGCAUCUAUAAAAUAAAUGAUUCCAUGGAUUGAUCGAGUUUACAACCUUGUAGCUCAUCAAACAGAAGGGAUGCCUUUGAAGAAGUGGGGGAGAAAAUAAAGGAGAUAUGCCACAUCACCAUAAUGGA